GCGGUGGCUCAGUGCAUGAGCCUGUGCUUUGCAUGCAGAAGUUCCAGGGUUCAAUUCCCGGCAUCUCCA
rnacentral:tRNA from 1 species